UCUUUCACCUGCCUAAGAAACCCACAUUAGUGUGAUGGCUGAGUAAUUAGAGCUUACAAGAUGCUAAUGGCACCUCAGUUUCCAGGAUAGUCUCUGCAGACUGCUUUCACUCAGCAGGUCAGGCUUCCUUUCAUGAUGGCUGCCAGUAACAGCUACCCCUCAUUUACAUCCAGCAGAGAUGAGGGGUAUCUCUUCGGGGAGUUCAUGCAAAAAAGUAAGAAAUCUUCAUUCUUGAAGCCCACAGAAAAUGUCCCCUCAGUCUCACUGUCUAAAACUGUGCCAUGUGCCAUCUUUAAAUCAAUCUCUGUAUUCCAAGAAAACAGAAUACUCUAAAUUGCUUACGCUAACUAGGGCCAACCUCUGCCCCUGGAAAUCGAUGUCAAAUCUAUCAAAACAGAGUGGCUAGGAAAUCCACGGAGGCCCUAUUAGGAAUGGGACCAGGAAGCGGAAGCCAUUAAGGCUACCAACA
rnacentral:lncRNA from 1 species